rnacentral:rRNA from 1 species
UACGGGGGGGGCAAGCGUUGUUCGGAAUUACUGGGCGUAAAGGGUGCGUAGGCGGUGCUCUAAGUCGGAUGUGAAAACUCUGGGCUCAACCCAGAGCCUGCAUCCGAAACUGGAGUGCUGGAGUUCUGGAGGGGGUAGCGGAAUUCCUGGUGUAGCGGUGAAAUGCGUAGAUAUCAGGAGGAACACCGGUGGCGAAGGCGGCUACCUGGACAGAAACUGACGCUGAGGCACGAAAGCUAGGGGAG